UUGGGCAACUCUAAAGAGACUGCCGAUGACAAAUCGGAGGAAGGUGGGGAUGACGUCAAAUCAUCAUGCCCUUUAUGUCCUGGGCUACACACGUGCUACAAUGGUCGGUACAACGAGAAGCAAGCCAGCGAUGGCAAGCAAAUCUCUAAAAGCCGAUCCCAGUUCGGAUUGCAGGCUGCAACUCGCCUGCAUGAAGUCGGAGUUGCUAGUAAUCGCGGAUCAGAAUGCCGCGGUGAAUGCGUUCCCGGGUCUU
rnacentral:rRNA from 1 species